rnacentral:rRNA from 1 species
AUUGAACGCUGGCGGCGUGCCUAAUACAUGCAAGUCGAGCGAAGCGGGGACGGGUGAGUAACACGUGGAUAACCUCCUAUAAGACUGGGAUAACUUCGGGAAACCGGAGCUAAACCGGAUACGUAUGGAUGGAUCCGCGGUGCAUUAGCUGGUUGGUAAGGUAACGGCUUACACAGGCAACGAUGCAUAGCCGACCUGGGAGGGUGAUCGGCCACACUGGAACUGAGACACGGUCAAGACUCCUACGGGAGGCAGCAGGAGGGAAUUGUCCGCAAUGGGCGAAAGCCUGACGGAGCAACGCCGCGUGGGUGAUGAAGGUCUUCGGAUCGUAAAACUCUGUUAUUAGGGAGGCGGUACCUAAUCAGAAAGCCACGGCUAACUACGUGCCAGCAGCCGCGGUAAUAC